CCUCUGACCGGCCGGAUAUAAUAUUGCCCAUGUCGUUAUCCGUUUCGAGCAAAUACCUUGGAAUCGACCUUAAAACGUUCACGUUAUAGAAUAUUCGGAUAUUCGAACGCGGUUUUUUCCCUGGCAAUAUCGUAAACGACAUGCUAAGCCCCGUCGCGGUUUUCCGCCUGCCGGGAUUUUAGGUUUUGUCUAUUAUCGUUAUAGCGUUGAACUUAUAGCGUUAUCGAGUUAUUAGUAUAUA